ACUUCCUCCUUGUGCCCCGAAGGCCAGCCCGGCACUCAGGCCAGGGCACUUGGACACCACGCUGCAGGAGGCUGGUCUCGCCCAGGCCUCUGUGGGAAGGGCCGCCAGGCUGAGUGGAGGGCCAGCCACCAGCUACGGUGUCUUCCUUCGCAGAAGCUUUGGAGUCUCCCAAAAUGCCUGCUGGGUCUCUGCAGGACUGGCACCUGUCACCGGAACCUGUCUGGGAGGGACGAGAACACGCUUUGCAAGAGGAAGCUCUGCCUCACAGAGCCCUGGGCUCACUCAGGGACCCUGGCCAGCAGCUGCUUCCUCUCCCCACAGCGGAGAGAGACCCAAGGGUCCCAGGGCGGAUGCUUCCCACCAGGCCAGCCCAGCGUGCAGGGUGGCCUCGCAGCUCUGCUCACACUGUCCUGGCUGCUCUGAAUCCCUGGGCCCCGAUUGGCCCCUGCCGUGGCCCAGCUCAGCAACCCCUCCCUGCAGACCAUCCCAUGACUCUGCAGGCGCUGCUCCCCUCUCUGCCCACACCCCGGCUUCGUGGGCCUCUCCCGCCACCCUUAUCUCAUUCCCUACAGAGUUAAGGAGCCCUGUGUGCUUAUCUAAUCCUGUGCUAGUUUCAGACUCCUUGAGGGCAAGGUCCAUGACUUACUCAUCCUCCCUGGCUGCUUCCCCCACCCACCAGCAUAGUAGGUGUUCAGGAUACAUGGGCUGGAUGGUAGGGCCCUGGACUCUAACCCUCUUGGGGCUGUCAGGCCUCAGACUCAGAGCACUGGCAUAGGGUGAAAGGGGAGCAGACAGCAGCCACCCUGCCCUGGGGGUCCUCCUGCAUCUGCCUCUGCAGAGCACUGCGAUCCCACAAAGGCCUGCGAGGGCUAUUGGAGACCUGUUCCAAUGCAUGAGCAAGGCGGAUCCAGCACCCUCCCCCAGCUCCUUGAGCCCACUGACCUGUGUCCUUUACCCAGCAGGCCCUGGGCCCAUGCACAUUUCCCUGGCCUGGGUCUCACCUCCAACCCCUCUCAGAACUCCUCAAGACCUGCCCAAGGGUCACUCCCUCGCGGACACCUGCCUGGCCCCCCGCCCCGCCCCCCAUUACCCCACUCACUGGCUCCCUGGAUGCUCUGUGGCUGGGAUGUUAGCGCCCCCAUCAUGCCCCAUCACCCACACCGGGCUAUUUCCCCCACCAGCCUGAAAGCCCCCAGGAGUGGCGGCCACUGACUUUUUUCCUGUAGCCUCAGACUCAAAGGAGGCACUUAAUAAAUGCACACAGAAGGACUGA
ensembl:lncRNA MIR194-2HG MIR194-2 host gene